GGGUUGUGAGGUUAAGCGACUAAGCGUACACGGUGGAUGCCCUGGCAGUCAGAGGCGAUGAAGGACGUGCUAAUCUGCGAUAAGCGCCGGUAAGGUGAUAUGAACCGUUAUAACCGGCGAUUUCCGAAUGGGGAAACCCAGUGUGAUUCGUCACACUAUCAUUAACUGAAUCCAUAGGUUAAUGAGGCGAACCGGGGGAACUGAAACAUCUAAGUACCCCGAGGAAAAGAAAUCAACCGAGAUUCCCCCAGUAGCGGCGAGCGAACGGGGAGGAGCCCAGAGCCUGAAUCAGCAUGUGUGUUAGUGGAAGCGUCUGGAAAGGCGCGCGAUACAGGGUGACAGCCCCGUACACAAAAGCGCAUGUGCUGUGAGCUCGAUGAGUAGGGCGGGACACGUGGUAUCCUGUCUGAAUAUGGGGGGACCAUCCUCCAAGGCUAAAUACUCCUGACUGACCGAUAGUGAACCAGUACCGUGAGGGAAAGGCGAAAAGAACCCCGGCGAGGGGAGUGAAAAAGAACCUGAAACCGUGUACGUACAAGCAGUGGGAGCCCCACCACUAAGCCAGUGGUGAACUCCACAUACGCAUCCUUUGCUGAGGAUACGGUUAACGGAGCGAAAGCGACGUUCAACCGCAAAAGAAGCAGAGGGGGCUUAGUGGUGGGGUGACUGCGUACCUUUUGUAUAAUGGGUCAGCGACUUAUAUUCUGUAGCAAGGUUAACCGCAU
rnacentral:rRNA from 1 species